GGGGUUGUGGCUCAGUGGUAGAGCGCUCACUUACCACAUGUAAGGCCCUGGGUUUGAAUCUCAGCACCA
rnacentral:tRNA from 1 species